rnacentral:rRNA from 1 species
GACGUAGGGCGCGAGCGUUGUCCGGAUUUAUUGGGCGUAAAGAGCUCGUAGGCGGCUUGUUGCGUCGACUGUGAAAACCCGCGGCUUAACCGCGGGCUUGCAGUUGAUACGGGCAGGCUAGAGUUCGGUAGGGGAGACUGGAAUUCCUGGUGUAGCGGUGAAAUGCGCAGAUAUCAGGAGGAACACCGGUGGCGAAGGCGGGUCUCUGGGCCGAUACUGACGCUGAGGAGCGAAGGCGUGGGGAGCGAACAGG